GGGGUUAAGCCAACCUCUAGUGGCUGUCUUCCUGACAGCCGCUAGAGGCGCAUCUGCAAUGCUGGAUGCGAAUUUCGCAUCCAUCACGCAGAGCGUCCAUAGUAAAGUAUUGAGAAAUGUUUUCCUAUGGACUGUUUGGACAUGCGCAUUCCGCUCCAGUCGGGAGCUGACGUCGGCAGUGGAGGAGAGGUCACCAGCGCUGAGGAGCCCUGUGCUGGAAUAAGGUAUGCUGCUGAAAGGAGUUUUAACCCCUUCAGUGCCACAGGAGGGGGACCCUGAGGGUGGGGGCAAAACAACCCCACAUACUUACGCCGACCUUAUCUUCAGAUAGUGCAGAAGGACUUACGGCAGUCAUUGGUGAUGUUAAAAUCCUACUGCAGCUUGUUUUAUCUGUAAAUAUAGUGGCACCAGUACAAGCAUAAAAUUCACGAAUAUUGCAUCAAUAUGAGAAUAUGAACGUCAC